rnacentral:rRNA from 1 species
AAAGUUGCAAAGCACUUUGAAGAGAGAGUUAAAGAGGACGUGAAACCGGURAGGUGGAAACGGAUAGAGUCGGCGUAUCAUUCAAGUAUUCAGUUACAUUAUUUUUAUGUUGUGACCUCUGAGCUCCAGAUUGGGACAGAGGGAAUCAGCAUAAUUUUUUGUGGUGCAUUUACUUGAUUGGUGCUUGGGGAUGUUUGAGGCAGAUUUGUUUCCGUCGUUUUGAGGCCAGCUUGCUGGUACCCAAACGGUGUUAGCAUUUUUUGUCUUGGACAUUUGAGUAUGGCUCACGUGUAUUUAUUGGACAGAUCUGAGUGUAAGUUACGGUCGCAUGCGACACGUGCUUUUCAAUUAGUUCGGUCCAGUUAAUGCUCUCGUACUCSUUCCCCAUGUAAAAGCCGGUCAUCUAUCCGACCCGUCUUGAAACACGGACCAAGGAGUUUAUCGUGUGCGCAAGUUUUUGGGUGUUAAAAACUUAAAAGCGAAAUGAAAGUAAAUGACUCUUUAGAGUCUGAUGUGCGAUCUUGUAAAAAAGUGCAGCAUGGCCCCAUUCUAACUGUUUACAGUAGGGUGGCGGAAGAGCGUACGCGGUGAGACCCGAAAGAUGGUGAACUAUUCCUGAGCAGGACGAAG